UACGUAGGGGGGCUAGCGUUGUCCGGAAUCAUUGGGCGUAAAGCGCGUGUAGGCGGUCCGGUAAGUCCGCUGUGAAAGUCGGGGGGCUCAACCCUCGAAUGCCGGUGGAUACUGUCGGGCUAGAGUGCGGAAGAGGCGAGUGGAAUUCCUGGUGUAGCGGUGAAAUGCGCAGAUAUCAGGAGGAACACCAAUUGCGAAGGCAGCUCGCUGGGACGUUACUGACGCUGGAGACGCGAAAAGCGUGGGGGAGCAAAACAGG
rnacentral:rRNA from 1 species